rnacentral:misc_RNA from 1 species
AAGACUAUAGACCUGCGGAGUACCUGCGGAAGGAUCAUUAUCGUAUUGUAACAAUUGGGGGGGCCACCGUGGGCUGUCGCUGACCCUUUGAAAGGGGGGUCGUGCACGCCCCCAUAGUGUCAUCCUCAUACAAUCCAACUCACCUCUGUGCAUCACCGCGUGGGUUCCUUUCUGGGUCGAGUCAGACUGGCUCAGAAAAAAGGGGCUUGCGUUUUCCAUACAAAUAACCUUAUAAAUCCA